GAUUAGAGUUUGAUCCUGGCUCAGAUUGAACGCUGGCGGCAGGCCUAACACAUGCAAGUCGUGCGGUAGCACAGAGAGCUUGCUCUCGGGUGACGAGCGGCGGACGGGUGAGUAAUGUCUGGGAAACUGCCUGAUGGAGGGGGAUAACUACUGGAAACGGUAGCUAAUACCGCAUAACGUCGCAAGACCAAAGUGGGGGACCUUCGGGCCUCAUGCCAUCAGAUGUGCCCAGAUGGGAUUAGCUGGUAGGUGGGGUAACGGCUCACCUAGGCGACGAUCCCUAGCUGGUCUGAGAGGAUGACCAGCCACACUGGAACUGAGACACGGUCCAGACUCCUACGGGAGGCAGCAGUGGGGAAUAUUGCACAAUGGGCGCAAGCCUGAUGCAGCCAUGCCGCGUGUGUGAAGAAGGCCUUCGGGUUGUAAAGCACUUUCAGCGGGGAGGAAGGCGGUGAGGUUAAUAACCUCAUCGAUUGACGUUACCCGCAGAAGAAGCACCGGCUAACUCCGUGCCAGCAGCCGCGGUAAUACGGAGGGUGCAAGCGUUAAUCGGAAUUACUGGGCGGAAAGCGCACGCAGGCGGUCUGUCAAGUCGGAUGUGAAAUCCCCGGGCUCAACCUGGGAACUGCAUUCGAAACUGGCAGGCUAGAGUCUUGUAGAGGGGGGUAGAAUUCCAGGUGUAGCGGUGAAAUGCGUAGAGAUCUGGAGGAAUACCGGUGGCGAAGGCGGCCCCCUGGACAAAGACUGACGCUCAGGUGCGAAAGCGUGGGGAGCAAACAGGAUCAGAUACCCUGGUAGUCCACGCCGUAAACGAUGUCGACUUGGAGGUUGUGCCCUUGAGGCGUGGCUUCCGGAGCUAACGCGUUAAGUCGACCGCCUGGGGAGUACGGCCGCAAGGUUAAAACUCAAAUGAAUUGACGGGGGCCCGCACAAGCGGUGGAGCAUGUGGUUUAAUUCGAUGCAACGCGAAGAACCUUACCUGGUCUUGACAUCCACGGAAGUUUUCAGAGAUGAGAAUGUGCCUUCGGGAACCGUGAGACAGGUGCUGCAUGGCUGUCGUCAGCUCGUGUUGUGAAAUGUUGGGUUAAGUCCCGCAACGAGCGCAACCCUUAUCCUUUGUUGCCAGCGGUCCGGCCGGGAACUCAAAGGAGACUGCCAGUGAUAAACUGGAGGAAGGUGGGGAUGACGUCAAGUCAUCAUGGCCCUUACGACCAGGGCUACACACGUGCUACAAUGGCGCAUACAAAGAGAAGCGACCUCGCGAGAGCAAGCGGACCUCAUAAAGUGCGUCGUAGUCCGGAUUGGAGUCUGCAACUCGACUCCAUGAAGUCGGAAUCGCUAGUAAUCGUGGAUCAGAAUGCCACGGUGAAUACGUUCCCGGGCCUUGUACACACCGCCCGUCACACCAUGGGAGUGGGUUGCAAAAGAAGUAGGUAGCUUAACCUUCGGGAGGGCGCUUACCACUUUGUGAUUCAUGACUGGGGUGAAGUCGUAACAAGGUAACCGAAU
rnacentral:rRNA from 1 species